CAGGAAAUGACUGGGUUGAGGAAUUGGAAGGUUAGGGCCUUUGAGGUCAAGAAUAUCUAAGGAGUUAAUGACCAAAAAAAAGUAAAGGAAGGAAGUUUAUCAGUACCAGAUCUUAGCUGUUUCCUUUGAGGUGCGCGCUGUUCGUAUCUACCACCCAAUCAAAACGCUGGCGGCUUCCAUCUAGUGGUCCCCAGGACACUCCCCUUCCUUCCUCAACGAGUUCAGCGCCAGCUCAGUCUUCCUCUUCUCAGUUCUCGUCCUCACAUGUAAGGCAGUUCAACAUACGCAGCAUGCACCUCAAAGGAAGCCAUGUUACUGAAUGGUGGAGAGAGAUGGAGAAACCGGGGUGACGAUGGGGAGUAAGGGGAAUUCCAACUCCCCCGCCUCGACCAGGGAGCUGAGGAGAGGUUAACCUUACUGAAAUCACCCCCGAUGAGGGGCAGGGAGGAAGCCUUGUGAACAUGACCUCAGUGACAAAGAAGAGCAGGGACCUGGAGGUUGGCAGAUGUCACCAACCAUCUGGAGAGGGUUCUAGAGUCCAGCAGAGGAGCUGAAAAGGGGGAAGGCUUGCUGAGAGAGCGUGAGAGAGGGAGGGCCAGGAACCGCCUGGAGGGAAGUGGCCCAGAACCUUGGGAACAGCAGUGACCCCCAAGCCACCAGACCAGCUUCCAGCCUGGCCCCUGCAGCCACCGUGAAGGGAAGAAAUCAUUGGCAGAAGGAGCCCACUAGCCUCAACACCACCACCAAAACUACAGACCAACCUUCACCUGCCAACAGUCACACAAACCAACAGCCCUGGGAGGGGCAGUGUCCCACACGGCCCCAGGCUUGCUUCCAGCCUGGCUCCCACAGCCAUGCUCCCAAGAAGGAUCUCCCAGGCACCCCCUGCACCCCUGGGCAGGGCAGCUGGGCACCCCGAGGGAGAGCGUGAGGGCAGCAAGUGCCAGGCAAGUCAGUCCCCCCACCACCACCACCCUGGCCCCCAUCUCCCCUCAGACCCUGAUGGAGACAGCCCAGGACCUCGAGCCCAAGAGCCUGGGGAAGAGCCAGGCUUCCAGCCCAGCCCCCACAGCCUGAGGACCCAGAAAGGAGAGUUCUUGGGACCCACGUCCUGGGCCCUGGCAGGUGGUUCGACAUCAGAGACCAGUGCAAUCUGAUCAGUGGCAAGAACAUGAAAGAAGAGGCCUGACUGCUGGCUUUGCUGCUGCCCCCAAGGACCACAGGUGGGACCUUCCCAUCGGACUUGCAGCUCAGCCCUUCCCUGGGUGCUGUCUCCCCGACUAGAAAGGGAGCAGGGACCGUCUCGCUUUUCUAUUGCUAUCCAAGGAGUUAGCCUAGUUCGUGGCACACAGUAAGUGCUUAAUAAAUGCCUUCUCACGUCUCUCUCCAGUCUGGUUUUGCCACAGCUGCCAAAAAACAUCUUCCCAAGCCCUGGUCUCCCCCGUCACGCCCUUCUCCAAACGCCUUAGUGGUUCUGUGCAGGUUCUGUGCACGGCGUUAAAGGCCCAAUCUAACUCCUGCCCAAAAGGAUGCCAAAGCACCUCCAGAUUUGGGGGAGUACUUUGUUUUCUUAAUUGCUCAGUAAUAUUCCAUUUUGGAAUACUGUGACAUCAUCAAGGCAGAACAAAGAGAAAAAAGGAGGUGGCUCUGGGGCUGGCCCGAGGAGGGGCAUGAGAGAAGUGAGGUGAGAGAUGGCCACCAGGUAAGAGGAGAGCGCAACCUGUAACUUGGAGGCCAACCUGAGAUGAGACGGGAGCAGAGGAUGUGCCUGCAUCCUGCAAACGCGCAUCCCUCGGCCUGCUGCGGGAAGAUGCUGCGGGGAAAGCCCAGGGCUGAGGGCUCACUCUCACCCUUAGCCACCAGCCCCACGGCUCCCUGGCCUCAGGCUCACAAGCCUGCCUCAGGAAGGAUUCUUAUCCAAGCAGCAGAGACACUUUGCCUCCAGAGGAGUGGGAUCUUUAAUACAGGGCAAUUGCCUGGAUGUGUGGAGUAAAUAAGAGGCAAGAUUUGAGGAUGCCAU